rnacentral:rRNA from 1 species
UACGAAGGGGGCUAGCGUUGUUCGGAAUUACUGGGCGUAAAGCGCGCGCAGGCGGCUAUCCAAGUCAGUGGUGAAAGCCCGGAGCUCAACUCCGGAACUGCCAUUGAAACUGUUUAGCUUGAGGACGAGAGAGGUGAGUGGAAUUCCCAGUGUAGAGGUGAAAUUCGUAGAUAUUCGCAAGAACACCAGUGGCGAAGGCGGCUCACUGGCCCGGUACUGACGCUGAGGUGCGAAAGCGUGGGAGCAAACAGG